AACCAAAUAGCUAUUAAAAGGCGGGAAUCUACAUAUCUCAUCUGAAAUUUAGAUUUAGAUAUAAGCGAAGAAAAUCUUUUGUUAUUAUUUUACCCAAAAUUCUAUAAUUUCAGGAGAAACGUUUGAUAUUAUUUUGUUAUUUUGAGGUGAUUAACCGAUAGCAUGUGCCUCAGGAUUUACUCUCAUAGCAGGUGAUCCCGUUUAUAUUCAUGCUAUUAAAGUUAAUCUUGUUAACAUAUAUGCAAAUGUGAGGAAUAUUGUAAGAAAGGUUGGGAGCUCUGGAAUUUGUCUUGUGGAUAUCGGAUUGGAAUACGAAUUCUUCAAGUUUAUCUGCACUCAACCAUAACUUAUUUGUGUAUUGUUCAGUGAUCUUUCAACUUGACAAGAAAGGCUAUGUAGUUUGCUUGGUUUUUACUAUUAUAAUCUUUGUAGAAUCUGAGUCCUAAGCAAGAAUCUUUUAAGAAGUGGCAAUUAGAUUAGUUGGACGUGCCAAAGUGAAGGUGCUGCUGCAGUUGAAUGUGUCAUUGGCAUUUUGUAAACCGAUGGUUUCAGUUUCGGUUUCACUUUUAUGGCUGUUGAAUCUCUUGGUUGAGUAUGUCUUGACAUGCGUGUGAUAUCUUUCUGUUCAGGAUGGCAUAAUUGCCUUCACUUCUUUGAGCACCUUCAUGAUAGUAGAUUUAUUUAAUGACUACCGUUCUGAUUAUGAAGUGUUGCUGAAUAUUCCAAUAAGGUAUGAUGGAUUUAUUACUUGACAUCUUCUAUGAAACUAUCAACAUCUCGGUGGGCACCUGACAUGUGAGCCUUUCGCUUUGAAAAAAAUCGAAAUAGGAUAAACACAAAUACCAUUGGAGCUAAACAUAGAGAUGUUACGAGAAGUGAUAGAAUAAAUACAAAUACAAAUCUUAUAGCUGUCGCUCAAUUAAUCGUGUUGUUGCACAGAAGGAAGAGUUGCUCUGUUAGUCUAUGAUGCUGCAAAAGUCAUUUUCCAAUGGUAAGACGUCACCGGAGCUGUUCUCAGAUUCCAAAGCAUUAUAAGAGGCAAAGAAGUAGGAGCUCUAAAUCUUCUAGCUCAAAUCUUGUGACAAUAGAGCAGAAAAGCUGAAAAGUGCUAGUGACAUAUUAAUAAAAGACGAUGAAGGAAAAGGGGGAUGAUGUAACCACAAUUCAUAUUGGAAAAAUGAAAUCAAGGAUCCCAAGUGGGUUCUCAGGUCUUGUGAAAUUCAAAACUCAUUUCAUGCUUUAAUUUUAGUCUUGAUGAAUGAAGAUCAUUCAGUUUCAUGUACACAAAUCCGUUUUUCUUACCUCCCACAGUUAUAUGGAAAUUUUCCAAGCUGAGUAAUGUGCUGUUUUGUACAGCUCAUGCUACCUAAUAACAUCCAGUUAGAAAAUGCAAAGGAAAAUAAUGGAGAGAGGUUAUUUAUGUGCUUUACCAUUGUAGAACAAAAAAAGAGAUGUCUGCAAUUGCCAAAAGCCUCUUAUUUUGUUGGUUUUGUUAUUUACAAUGAUAGAUAGCCAUUCUAGCUAAGUGUUUUGGGUUGAACCGUUAUUAUUCACCUUCCAUGAAUAUAUGAUGAUGUCUAAAAUGUACUUUGGUGCAAGGUUUGAAGUAUCACAAUGGUUAUUUAUAUAACUGCAGUAAGUUACUUCACUACCUUCUGCACAGGAUUUCUUGAAGGACAAUUCUGCUAACUUGUUUUAAUUAAACUGAUUCAAUGCACAUUUAUAUGCCGCAUUAAAACAUAUUUUAGUGCCUUUGUUCUCACAAAGGUUACUUUGCUGAUUUCUUGUAGUUUACUUUGUGAAUCAAGAAUUAUGGUGAGAGAAAGAAAAGAAAAAAAGGUAAAAGGAACACGACUUGUCAGCUGUUUUUUUUACUAACUGUUGUCUGGUUUAGAAAGAAAUCCAAAAUGGAAGGUUGCAGCUCUUCUAGAGGCUAGGCAAAAGGAGGUAAUAUCUAAUACAAAUGUCCUACGAAUGCUUGUCUGUUCGUGUUUGUUUCACUUAUUCAUUUUCUGCAAUGGGAAUGCCAUCUCAUAUAUAACAUUAGAUACUUUUGUGGUGUGUACUGCCGAAAAUGGUCCAGAUGAGACGAACUCGGUCUUGACAGAGAAAUCACACAGUUGGUUUCCCUGGUAUAAUUUUUGAACCCCUCACUCUAGUUUACGGUUGUGACUCAAUGUUUUAGCCUGCAGCCAACUUUAAUCAACAUCGACAGGAGCAAGCUCGAAAAGAGAAAGAAGAGUUGGAAAAGUUGCUCAAAGAGAACCCGUUAUAAGGAACUAGAGGAGCUUCAAAGAUGAAAGGAAGAGGCCAUGAAAAGGAAGCAACAGGGGGCCGGAAAACAUUCAAAUCAGACAAAAUCAUCUGUAAAGAACAAACUCCGACCGGAGUUGUCCUUUGCCCUCGGUUCUAAAUGAUUGAUUUUAUAACCAGGUUUAUUUGUUCUAAUAUUUUGUACUGUAGCUGAACUUCCAUUAGUAAUUAAGAGCAUAUAUAUGAUUGUGAAUGUUGUUUUAAAGUUGAAAACCUAUUCUGCUUGCUUUACCUUUAACCGGUCUCCGGUUUUGAUCAUGCAA